rnacentral:rRNA from 1 species
GUGGGGAAUAUUGGACAAUGGGCGAAAGCCUGAUCCAGCCAUGCCGCGUGUGUGAAGAAGGUCUUCGGAUUGUAAAGCACUUUAAGUUGGGAGGAAGGGCAGUAAGUUAAUACCUUGCUGUUUUGACGUUACCGACAGAAUAAGCACCGGCUAACUUCGUGCCAGCAGCCGCGGUAAUACGAAGGGUGCAAGCGUUAAUCGGAAUUACUGGACGUAAAGCGCGCGUAGGUGGUUUUGUAAGUUGGAGGUGAAAUCCCCGGGCUCAACCUGGGAACUGCCUCCAAAACUGCAUGACUAGAGUACGGUAGAGGGUAGUGGAAUUUCCUGUGUAGCGGUGAAAUGCGUAGAUAUAGGAAGGAACACCAGUGGCGAAGGCGACUACCUGGACUGAUACUGACACUGAGGUGCGAAAGCGUGGGGAGCAAACAGGAUUAGAAACCCCGGUAGUCC